rnacentral:rRNA from 1 species
UGUCCUACGGGGGGCAGCAGUGGGGGACAUUGCACAAUGGGGGGAACCCUGAUGCAGCGACGCCGCGUGGGCGAUGGAGUACUUCGGUAUGUAAAGCCCUAUCAGCAGGGAAGAAAAUGACGGUACCUGACUAAGAAGCCCCGGCUAAAUACGUGCCAGCAGCCGCGGUAAUACGUAUGGGGCAAGCGUUAUCCGGAUUUACUGGGUGUAAAGGGAGCGUAGGCGGCUUGGCAAGCCUGAUGUGAAAUACCGGGGCCCAACCCCGGGGCUGCAUUGGGAACUGCCAGGCUGGAGUGCCGGAGAGG